rfam:Brassica napus, WGS project CCCW01000000 data, contig: 25724
AAACCAUGACGAGGGCAUUGAGACCAAUAGCCCUUGAACCUCUCCAAUGCUUCACUGAAACUCUCUAGACCUUUCCGUUGAAAUCCAGAGAUUUCGUUCCUGAUCUU